AGGACACAAGAGGUGAUAGUUUCCAUCUGGCUCUUUCCUCCGGGGACAUGAAGUUCUGGAUAUUAGCCAGCAUAUUUCAAAGAACUGAAUUUCCUGGCAGAAGUUAGAAUAUUCUAAAACACUUUUGCUUCUUCCUUUAACUGACUAUUGAGAUUAGUUGUGCCCCCCCAACCAAAAUAAGAAUUUUGAGUUAUUGAGAUGUCCCAGUAAGUAAAGAUGUUUGUCACACAAGCCUGAUCUUAGAGUCCAUCCAUGUAAAGACAAACCCUAACCUAACUCCCUUCUGAGCUUUGGACCUUCUUCGGAGUGAUUAUCAUGAUGUCCACUCUCAUAUUGCUACUCCAGCAGUCUUACCUGCCACCUGCUGCCGUGGGGCCCCUGCUCUUGUGGAUUCUAAUGCUCUGGAACCGUUAGUCCAAAUAAAUUCUUUCUUCC